rnacentral:rRNA from 1 species
ACCCUUUAAUGUUUGAUGUUCUAACGUGGACCCGUAAUCCGGGUUGCGGACAGUGUCUGGUGGGUAGUUUGACUGGGGCGGUCUCCUCCUAAAGAGUAACGGAGGAGCACGAAGGUUGGCUAAUCCUGGUCGGACAUCAGGAGGUUAGUGCAAUGGCAUAAGCCAGCUUGACUGCGAGCGUGACGGCGCGAGCAGGUGCGAAAGCAGGUCAUAGUGAUCCGGUGGUUCUGAAUGGAAGGGCCAUCGCUCAACGGAUAAAAGGUACUCCGGGGAUAACAGGCUGAUACCGCCCAAGAGUUCAUAUCGACGGCGGUGUUUGGCACCUCGAUGUCGGCUCAUCACAUCCUGGGGCUGAAGUAGGUCCCAAGGGUAUGGCUGUUCGCCAUUUAAAGUGGUACGCGAGCUGGGUUUAGAACGUCGUGAGACAGUUCGGUCCCUAUCUGCCGUGGGCGCUGGAGAACUGAGGGGGGCUGCUCCUAGUACGAGAGGACCGGAGUGGACGCAUCACUGGUGUUCGGGUUGUCAUGCCAAUGGCACUGCCCGGUAGCUAAAUGCGGAAGAGAUAAGUGCUGAAAGCAUCUAAGCACGAAACUUGCCCCGAGAUGAGUUCUCCCUGAGACUUAGAGUCUCCUGAAGGAACGUUGAAGACGACGACGUUGAUAGGCCGGGUGUGUAAGCGCAGCGAUGCGUUGAGCUAACCGGUACUAAUGAACCGUGAGGCUUAACCUUACAACGCCGAAGCUGUU